rnacentral:rRNA from 1 species
AUUGAACGCUGGCGGCAUGCCUUACACAUGCAAGUCGAACGGCAGCACGGGAGCAAUCCUGGUGGCGAGUGGCGAACGGGUGAGUAAAGUAUCGGAACGUGCCCAGUCGUGGGGGAUAACGUAGCGAAAGUUACGCUAAUACCGCAUACGAUCUAUGGAUGAAAGCGGGGGAUCGCAAGACCUCGCGCGAUUGGAGCGGCCGAUAUCAGAUUAGGUAGUUGGUGGGGUAAAGGCUCACCAAGCCGACGAUCUGUAGCUGGUCUGAGAGGACGAACAGCCACACUGGGACUGAGACACGGCCCAGACUCCUACGGGAGGCAGCAGUGGGGAAUUUUGGACAAUGGGCGAAAGCCUGAUCCAGCCAUGCCGCGUGCAGGAUGAAGGCCUUCGGGUUGUAAACUGCUUUUGUACGGAGCGAAAAGGCUCUCUCUAAUACAGGGGGCUCAUGACGGUACCGUAAGAAUAAGCACCGGCUAACUACGUGCCAGCCGCCGCAGUAA